AACCGGUUGACGUUGAAAAGUCUUCGGAUGACCUGUGGGUAGGGGUGAAAGGCCAAUCAAACUGGGAGAUAGCUCGUACUCCCCGAAAUGCAUUUAGGUGCAGCGUCGAUAUAGUUUAUUAGAGGUAGAGCUACUGAUUGGAUGCGGGGGUUUCAUCGCCUACCAAUUCCUGACAAACUCCGAAUGCUAAUAAAUGUUCUACGGCAGUGAGGGCAUGGGUGCUAAGGUCCAUGUCCGAGAGGGAAAGAACCCAGACCAACAGCUAAGGUCCCCAAAUAUAUGCUAAGUUGAAGCAACGCGGUUGAACUGCAUUGACAGCUAGGAUGUUGGCUUGGAAGCAGCCAUUCAUUUAAAGAGUGCGUAACAGCUCACUAGU
rnacentral:ncRNA from 1 species